rnacentral:rRNA from 1 species
ACCUACGGCCAUGCCACCCUGAACAAGCUCGAUCCCAUCUGAUCCUGGAAGCUAAGCAGGAUUAGGACUAGUUAGUAAUUGGAUGGGAGACCACCUAGGAAGAACAGGUGCUGUAGGUG